GGGCCCGCACAAGCGGUGGAGCAUGUGGUUUAAUUCGAUGAUACGCGAGGAACCUUACCAGGGCUUAAAUGUAGUCUGACAGGGGUGGAAACACCCCCUCCUUCGGGCAGAUUACAAGGUGCUGCAUGGUUGUCGUCAGCUCGUGCCGUGAGUGUCAGGUUAAGUCCUAUAACGAGCGCAACCCCUGCCGUUAGUUGCCAGCAUGUAAUGAUGGGAACUCUAACGGGACUGCCGGUGCAAACCGCGAGGAAGGUGGGGGAUGACGUCAAAUCAUCACGGCCCUUACGUCCUGGGCUACACACGUGCUACAAUGGCCGGUACAGAGGGCAGCCACACCGCAAGGUG
rnacentral:rRNA from 1 species